GGAGAGAUGGCCGAGUGGACGAAGGCGGUUGCCUGCUAAGCAAUUGUGCGGUGAUUAGCCGCACCGUGGGUUCGAAUCCCACUCUCUCCGCCA
rnacentral:tRNA from 1 species